GAUGAACGCUGACAGAAUGCUUAACACAUGCAAGUCUACUUGAACAUCGGUUUGGGUGGCGGACGGGUGAGUAACGCGUAAAGAACUUGCCUCACAGAUAGGGACAACAUUUGGAAACGAAUGCUAAUACCUGAUAUUAUGCCUCUAAGGCAUCCUAGAAUUAUGAAAGCUAUAUGCACUGUGAGAGAGCUUUGCGUCCCAUUAGCUAGUUGGAGAGGUAACGGCUCACCAAGGCGAUGAUGGGUAGCCGGCCUGAGAGGGUGAUCGGCCACAAGGGGACUGAGACACGGCCCUUACUCCUACGGGGGGCAGCAGUGGAGAAUAUUGGACAAUGGACCAAGAGUCUGAUCAAGCAAUUCUGUGUGCACGAUGAAGUUUUUCGGAAUGUAAAGUGCUUUCAGUUGGGAAGAAAAAAAUGACGGUACCAACAGAAGAAGUGACGGCUAAAUACGUG
rnacentral:rRNA from 1 species